rnacentral:lncRNA from 1 species
UUGAUCAAUUAGUACAGGAAGAAUCCUUAUUGACGAAGUUAUAAACCCGUAAUUAAGGACGGAAAAUCUCUUCUCUGUAAGAGAGGAGAAGGCCACUUUUGCAAGCUUUGUCUAAUCUCACCCCCCCAAGUUUGGCAAAUCAUCCAUACCUUUAUUCAGAUACGCUGGAGGGUGCCCACUCAUCAUAUGAUUCGUCGGAUGGUUCAAGCGACUAUGC